rnacentral:RNase_P_RNA from 1 species
GAGGAAAGUCCGGGCUCUAUUUAUAAAACUAUAGUUGUAUAAAAUACAAUGUAGGUAACUAUGAGGAUCGUGCCACAGAAAUAUACCGCCUUAUUGCGAGGUAAGGGUGCAAUGGUUCGGUAAGAGCGUACCAGGGAUAUCUUCAAAGUAUUUGCUAGGUAAACCCCGUAUUUGAGCAAAGAAAAUAGUUUGUUGUAAUGAGUAUUUAUAAAUUUUACUGCUUUAUAUUCUAAUUAUAUAUACUGCAUAAAGUAAUUAAUUUACUGAAGAUUAAUAAUUACCCUUUUCAUUGUAAAAUUUUAUAUUUGGAAAGAACUAAACCCGGCUUAU